GGCAAAGGCAUCGCGGAGUAGGAUUAUUCUGGGAUUGAGAUCCAGGUGAGACCGGUCACAAGUUUCGUUGAGCUCGUGCGUGGUUGACUGCUCGGAGAUCUACGAGGUAGCUACCAGCGUCCGCAGACCUUGGCUCUCCUUCCAUUGUUGUCUUUCUUUCUGUUUUUAUGGCAUUUGGCGGAUUAUUGUAAUCUUUGAUUCUACAGCGAUUGUAGAUGCUCAUGACUUAGUGACACUCUGAUGUCGGGCUAUCUUUUCCGCAUUAUAUUAUUAGUUUAACUCUU